rnacentral:tRNA from 1 species
CAGGGAGACAAAAAAUGAUUGUGAUGUCUGAGUAUUUAAUUCUUAGGCCAUAAUCCUGUCACCUUAGGUCGAUCGGUACCUCAGAUAUAUGGAGUAUUUUAUUUCAUAAAUUUCAGUUCCUAAACUUGUCUAGGUCACACCCAUCAAGGUUUCUCCUGGGCCAUUAGCUCAGGUGGUUAGAGCGCACCCCUGAUAAGGGUGAGGUCCCUGGUUCAAGUCCAGGAUGGCCCAUUCGUUGUUGGGGGUAUAGCUCAGUUGGUGGAGCGCCUGCUUUGCAAGCAGGAUGUCAGCGGUUCGAGUCCGCUAACCUCCACUGACUGAUCUCCUACAACGAGCCAAUGGUGAGAAUCGUUGUGUGAUGUGAUUUAGAAUUUAAGUUUGCUGGAAGACCCUAGCUUCUUAUCAUUCCAGGCCUCAAUCAAUUGAGAUUAGGUUGAUAGGACGCUGGGCUCACUGUAAUUCGCAAGAAUUGCAGAGAUGUUCAGCAGAACCUUGACAACUGCAUAGGUAAGUCUGGAAAGAAUAAAGCAUCUCAUGGAUGCAUGAUUCUUGGGAAUCAGCUGAUGCAAUCUGCGCGAGUAGAGAGCUGAAGUUGAUGAACGAGAAUGAUGUUUGAUUCUUGAGUCAAGAGCCGAGACUCUAUAGCGUUCUUUCGAUGUCAUCGAGGCAUCGAGAGUUUGAUUGGUCAUUCAAACCAUCUUCAAUGACAAACAUUCAGUUUAACUGGAUAAGUUUGAGAUUGAAGCCAGGUGAAUUGCUAGAAUACGUAUUCACUACGUGAAGCGUAUAGAGAUUAAUU